GACGAAAGCGUGGGGAGCGAACAGGAUUAGAUACCCUGGUAGUCCACGCCGUAAACGAUGCUAACUCGUUUUUGGGUUUUCGGAUUCAGAGACUAAGCGAAAGUGAUAAGUUAGCCACUGGGGAGUACGUUCGCAAGAAUGAAACUCAAAGGAAUUGACGGGGGCCCGCACAAGCGGUGGAUUAUGUGGUUUAAUUCGAUGAUACGCGAGGAACCUUACCAAGGCUUAAAUGGGAAUUGACAGGUUUAGAAAUAGACUUUUCUUCGGACAAUUUUCAAGGUGCUGCAUGGUUGUCGUCAGCUCGUGCCGUGAGGUGUUAGGUUAAGUCCUGCAACGAGCGCAACCCCUGUCACUAGUUGCCAUCAUUCAGUUGGGGACUMUAGUGAGACUGCMUACGCAAGUAGAGAGGAAGGUGGGGAUGACGUCAAAUCAUCACGGCCCUUACGCCUUGGGCCACACACGUAAUACAAUGGCCGGUACAGAGGGCAGCUACCUAGCGAUAGGAUGYGAAUCUCGAAAGCCGGUCUCAGUUYGGAUUGGAGUYUGCAACUCGAMUCUAUGAAGCKGGAAUCGYUAGUAAUCGCMUAUCAGCCAUGAUGCGGUGAAUAC
rnacentral:rRNA from 1 species